rnacentral:rRNA from 1 species
AACGAACGCUGGCGGCAUGCCUAACACAUGCAAGUCGAACGAGACCUUCGGGUCUAGUGGCGCACGGGUGCGUAACGCGUGGGAAUCUGCCCCUUGGUUCGGAAUAACAGUUAGAAAUGACUGCUAAUACCGGAUGAUGACGAAAGUCCAAAGAUUUAUCGCCGAGGGAUGAGCCCGCGUAGGAUUAGCUAGUUGGUGAGGUAAAGGCUCACCAAGGCGACGAUCCUUAGCUGGUCUGAGAGGAUGAUCAGCCACACUGGGACUGAGACACGGCCCAGACUCCUACGGGAGGCAGCGGUGGGGAAUAUUGGACAAUGGGCGAAAGCCUGAUCCAGCAAUGCCGCGUGAGUGAUGAAGGCCUUAGGGUCGUAAAGCUCUUUUACCUAGGGAUGAUAAUGACAGUACCUGGAGAAUAAGCUCCGGCUAACUCCGUG